rnacentral:rRNA from 1 species
CUAAUUGUUUUAGAAUAAUUAAAUGAGCCAUUGCCAGCUAUAGAUGGUGCUGACUGGAAAUUACCUCCAAUGUUAUAUCCUAAUGUUUGACCAACAUCAGUAGUUUCUAUUUUGUUUUUAGGAAGGUAAUUGAUUAAGCUAACAUUUGGAUCUUUAGUCGUCAGUCCUAUAUUAUAUUGGAAUGGCCAAAUCAUUCGUUUAGUUAAUUCAUAUCCACUACCCUUCACAUCUGAAAAUGAAGUUCUGGAAUUAAUAAAACCUUGCAUUUUAACAAUUAAAGCGUCUUUGUUAUAUUUUUUAUCUUUUACAAAGUCGAAUUGGACAUUUUGAGUAACGCCCCAUUUCUUACUACUUACAUCCUCCGUACGUUUGAUUACUUCAGCACCAUCACCAAUAUUUUCAAUAUUAGUAUUUGCUCUAGAUUCUUGAAUCGGAGAUGCUAAAGGUGCAAUCAGUCCUACUGACAAAGUUGCAGCUAACAUUUUUUUCUUAAACAUAAGUUUCACUUUCUUUCUAUAUAAAUUUUUAAUACAAAUUUAUUCUAGAUUAUUUCACUUAUUUAUAAAAUUAACUGUUCAUUAAAAAAUAAAAUGCUAUAAAAUAUUAAAAACGACACAAUUUAUUCAUUUAUGCUGCUGAAAACCGGUCAUUUUGGCGCAACCUUCAUUACCUUUAAAUAGUUCCCUUUAUAUUCGAACAAUAUGAUAAAAUUACCGAUACUCAAUCUUUUCUCUGUAAAAAUAAAAACGAACUUUAAUCAAAUCUUCAAAAAUAAUGUUUGUAUUAUCACAAAUAAUCUAUAAUUGAAUUUAAAAUUAACUGAUUAUUAACUAUUGUCCGUUAAACGAAGAUGAUUACUUCGUAUACUGUUAUAACUGAAAUGUUCUAUAUAUCAUUUCGUAAUAUCGCUUACUUCAUCUAAAAAAAUUUAAUGCUAUGAUUUAGUCUAAUUAAAAACAUAUAUAUAUUUACUAUGAACUAAAAUUUCACUUUAAAAAUAAAAAACCAUGAUUUCGAAGUCUUCAUAAACUGAAGCUUCUACUCUCAUGGCAAUUUAUACUAUGAUAUUCAAUUAUAAUGCCUAGUCUCAUAGUAAACGGCUACUACAUUCGCAUGUACUUCGUUUUACUGUCCACGCAUGGUCGUUGACUUAUUUAUAUUAUAAUAUAAAUAUUUUAUUUUUCAAUACUUAAUUUUAAAAAUCCCCUAUGAAAAUGUUGAUGAGCUACAUCUUUAAAUCUUAUUAUACAUUGUAUAAAAUUAUAUUGCGAGGUAGUAAAUUGAUAUUAUACACUUUUGGUUGUGUAUGCAUCUCACCUAUCUUUUUUGCUUUUUUCAAAUAAGAAAGUAUUAAAAAUUAAUGCCUAUACAGGAACAGACAUGGCUAAACUUGAUUUAAAUAGUCUUGACGACGAGCACGUAAAAUUAUUAAUAAAUGAAUUAAAAUAUCCAGAAACUCAUAUCGAUGUAAAUGAAUUAAAAACAAUAGUUGCUAGUCGAAUAAAUGAAAGGCAAGAAAUAAUAAGUUUUAAGUUAGGAAUAAAGUACUUAUUAACAAUAAAAAGAGGGAACAUAGAAAAAGAUAGGUUUUCAAUUUCAAUCAUUUUCAAAGAUACCUAUCACACCCUAGUUAGAAUAGAUAUUAACGGUGGUACUCACGAUAAUCCAGAUGGAACAAUCGCUCCGAAAAGUCAUAUUCACAUAUAUAAUGAUAAGUAUGAUAAAAAGGAUAGGUUUGCUUAUGAAAUUAACUUGAAAGAUUUCCCCGACAUCUAUAACUUGUAUAAUGUGUAUAUGUCGUUUUUAGAGUAUAAUAAUAUAAAAGACCUUGAAUAAAGGAGGGAUAAUAUGACUACAUUUGAUGCUAAAAAAUUAAAAAAAGAAUAUCUUGAUUGGUAUAAUCAGACCUUAGAGUUUUCUAAUUUAUCAAACAAUGUAGUAAGAAUAGAUACUCCUUUUAAAGAUAAUUCUUUAGAUAAUUUAAUAAUUUACGCUUUAUACGAUCAGUCCAGAGACAUGAUUACACUGACAGAUGACGGCUAUACUAUAUUUGAUUUAGAAAAUAAUGGUAUUUCUUUAAAUAAAUCAAAAAAACGUAAAAAGAUUUUUGAAGAGCACCUUUCAGCUUACGGUAUUAAAUAUAACGAUAAAACUCACGAAAUUUUUGUUCAAACUAACUUUAAAAAUUUUAAUAAAUCGAAACAUAAUUUAUUACAGUGCCUUAUAUUUGUUAAUGAUAUGUACUUACUUUCUAAUCCUAAGUCACAGAACAUAUUUACAGAAGAUGUUGCAAACAAAUUGGAUGAACAUAACAUUUAUUACGGAAGAGAUUUACCUAUUAUAGGAAGCAGUGGUGUUGUUCAUAAUUUCGACUUUUUUAUUAGCGCUAAGAAAAAUCAAAAAGAAAAAUUUAUCAAUGCUAUUUCUAACCCUAAUAAUUCUAUGAUUAUUAAGUCGAAAAUAACGGAUGCUAUGCAAGCAAAAAAAUAAAAAGACACAGGCAAAAUGAGUUUAUUUUUAUUUUAAAUGACUCAAAAAAAGAAAUAAAUGAACAUAAUAAAAAUCUUCUUCAUGAAAACUAUAUUAGUACAAUAGAUUAUAGCGAAUUAGAUGAAAAGAUAGGUUUAUUGAUUUAAUAUAUAUAGACGUGAUAAUAUCAAUGUUUAUAUUAAAUGAAACGAAUUUGAAAAUUUCGAAACAGCUUAAGAUAGCAAAUUGAAUAGCCUUAUUGAUAAUGCAGAAUCGUCUACACUUAGUUGAACAAAUUCUAUGAGAAUAGAUAUUGUUAAACUAUUUGGGUAGGCGAUUUUAUUUUGACAAGAGUCAGAAGAUUAUUUAGUUCAUAGUUUAAGUUACAAAUGGCUAAACUUUAUGAAAAUGGUAUGACUAGAAUCGAAAUUAUACUCGAAUACGAUUUAACACUCUCAAUCUUCUCGAACUGAAUAAAUACUGGGUCAUUCAAUCAUCAAGACAACUUAAUAAGUGAUGAUAAAUGUUCAUACCAUUUUGCAAAUAUAACCAGAUACUCUCAACAAAAUGUAGAGUUCAAAAUUAAAAAUGUCCCUAAUUGGCACAUUGCUGUAUGAUAAUAAAUUCAACUUAGAUUUCAACAAUAUAACUAAUGAUGCUUAUAUUUACCGCGAUAUCAAACCAAACAGCCCAUCCACAAACAAAUUAGAAUAUAUCAUGUUAAUAAUAGUAAAUGAUAUAUCUUCCAAAGACCGCAAACUGUAGCAGAACAUGAGAACCUUGCGAUUUUGAAAUGGUCUAAUAAAUCAAAUAUCAUUGAAACUUUAAUCACAUAAAUUAACAGUAGUCACCUGUUCGCAGUUCUAUAAAUUACAAAUGCAAUAAAGGCUAAAGUAAACUAAUUACUUUAGCCUUUAUUAAUAAUUUAGUCGAAUUUAUUAAAAAUCGACUAACUCCUGGUUAUGCUACGCUUUACUUUAUAAUCCGCACGUAGAUGCCGAUUGAUUAUAUUAUAAUAUUAUUAUUUUAUUUUUUCAAGCGUAUAUAUAAUAUUUGAUUUUCUUUAAGUAACAGCUAAACAUUACAUUUCAAAACGAUUAGGUCAUGCAGAUGUACAUACAACGCUUAAAACAUAUUCACAUUUGAUUAAAGAAUUUGAAGAUAAUGAAACUAAAUUUAUAGAAAAAAAUCUGAAUGAUUUGUUUUGUGACUAAACUUCAAAAUCUUGUGACUAAAAUUAGGAUUAUUCAUCAAAAAUUAGUCACAUUGUGGCUAAAAAAUUUUAAAUGGAUAUAAAUAAAUAAGAAGUGUAAAAAUGAGGAUAAUAGCUCAAAUGCAGAUAUAUCAAGGGAUUGAGUCCAAAAUAAAAAUAGCGCUUAAAAUGGGUAAAACCAAUUUAAGCGCCUUUACGGAAGGUAAGGGAUUCGAACCCUUGAGACGCUUGUGACGCCUACACACUUUCCAGGCGUGCUCCUUCGGCCAGCUCGGACAACCUUCCUCAACAAUAAAUAUGUAAUAAAAAAACAGAAGCGAUAUUUCACUUCUGCUUGUAUGACUCCUACGGGACUCGAACCCGUGUUACCGCCGUGAAAGGGCGGUGUCUUAACCGCUUGACCAAGGAGCCAUGGCUCCACAGGUAGGACUCGAACCUACGACCGAUCGGUUAACAGCCNCUACGAAUCGAAGCCCCAGUAAACGGCGGCCGUAACUAUAACGGUCCUAAGGUAGCGAAAUUCCUUGUCGGGUAAGUUCCGACCCGCACGAAAGGCGUAACGAUUUGGGCACUGUCUCAACGAGAGACUCGGUGAAAUCAUAGUACCUGUGAAGAUGCAGGUUACCCGCGACAGGACGGAAAGACCCCGUGGAGCUUUACUGUAGCCUGAUAUUGAAAUUCGGCACAGCUUGUACAGGAUAGGUAGGAGCCUUUGAAACGUGAGCGCUAGCUUACGUGGAGGCGCUGGUGGGAUACUACCCUAGCUGUGUUGGCUUUCUAACCCGCACCACUUAUCGUGGUGGGAGACAGUGUCAGGCGGGCAGUUUGACUGGGGCGGUCGCCUCCUAAAAGGUAACGGAGGCGCUCAAAGGUUCCCUCAGAAUGGUUGGAAAUCAUUCAUAGAGUGUAAAGGCAUAAGGGAGCUUGACUGCGAGACCUACAAGUCGAGCAGGGUCGAAAGACGGACUUAGUGAUCCGGUGGUUCCGCAUGGAAGGGCCAUCGCUCAACGGAUAAAAGCUACCCCGGGGAUAACAGGCUUAUCUCCCCCAAGAGUUCACAUCGACGGGGAGGUUUGGCACCUCGAUGUCGGCUCAUCGCAUCCUGGGGCUGUAGUCGGUCCCAAGGGUUGGGCUGUUCGCCCAUUAAAGCGGUACGCGAGCUGGGUUCAGAACGUCGUGAGACAGUUCGGUCCCUAUCCGUCGUGGGCGUAGGAAAUUUGAGAGGAGCUGUCCUUAGUACGAGAGGACCGGGAUGGACAUACCUCUGGUGUACCAGUUGUCGUGCCAACGGCAUAGCUGGGUAGCUAUGUGUGGACGGGAUAAGUGCUGAAAGCAUCUAAGCAUGAAGCCCCCCUCAAGAUGAGAUUUCCCAACUUCGGUUAUAAGAUCCCUCAAAGAUGAUGAGGUUAAUAGGUUCGAGGUGGAAGCAUGGUGACAUGUGGAGCUGACGAAUACUAAUCGAUCGAAGACUUAAUCAA